GCAGGACAUCAUUAUGACAUAUAUUGAUUUGUGAUAUAAAACAUUUCAUUUAUGAUAAGAUGUUUCAAGGUAUAUUUUUUUUUUUUGAUUCAUGCAAAUGUUCACACCACUCUGAUGUAAGAGCAGUCCAGAAAAUAAGAGCGCAAAAGAUCCCGCAGGCCGACGGACAGCUCUCAUCUUAUCACCAAACCUAGUCUCUAGAGUGCUCUGCUACAUACGAUUCAACUCAAUCUGCUACGCUGUUCACCUCUCAGUAGACAUACCACAC
rnacentral:lncRNA from 1 species